rnacentral:rRNA from 1 species
GUAUUAGAGUAGUAUAAGUCGUAACAGGUUUCCGUAGGUGAACCUGCGGAAGGAUCAUUAUUGAAAUAAACCUGAUGGGUUGUUGCUGGCUCUCUAGGGAGCAUGUGCACGCCUUGUCAUCUUUAUAUCUCCACCUGUGCACCUUUUGUAGACCUUUCAGGUCUAUGUUGCUUCAUUUUUCCCCAAUGUAUGUUAAUAGAAUGUUGUGCCCUGUAUAAUAUAUACAACUUUCAGCAACGGAUCUCUUGGCUCUCGCAUCGAUGAAGAACGCAGCGAAAUGCGAUAAGUAAUGUGAAUUGCAGAAUUCAGUGAAUCAUCGAAUCUUUGAACGCACCUUGCGCUCCUUGGUAUUCCGAGGAGCAUGCCUGUUUGAGUGUCAUUAAUAUAUAUCAAGCCUUCUCUUGUAGAAGGGUUUGGAUGUGGGGGUUUGCUGGCCUCUUAAAAGGGUUCAGCUCUCCUGAAAUGCAUUAGCAGAACAAACCUUGUGUUCAUUGGUGUGAUAACUAUCUACGCUAUCGAAUGUCGAGGGGGCAGUUCAGCUUUCUAACGGUCUUUGGACAACUCAUCAUUAAUGUGACCUCAAAUCAGGUAGGACUACCCGCUGAACUUAAGCAUAUCAAUAAGCGGAGGAAAAGAAACUAACAAGGAUUCCCCUAGUAACUGCGAGUGAAGCGGGAAAAGCUCAAAUUUAAAAUCUGGCGGUUUUUUUGGCCGUCCGAGUUGUAAUCUAGAGAAGUGUUAUCCGCGCUGGACCGUGUACAAGUCUCCUGGAAUGGAGCAUCAUAGAGGGUGAGAAUCCCGUCUUUGACAUGGACUGCCAGGGCUUGGUGAUGCGCUCUCAAGAGUCGAGUUGUUUGGAAUGCAGCUCAAAUGGGGUGGUAAUUCAUCUAAGCUAAAUAUUGCGAGAGACGAUAGCGAACAGUACGGGAGGGAAGAUGAAAGACUUGGAAGA